rnacentral:rRNA from 1 species
AACGAACGCUGGCGGCAUGCCUAACACAUGCCAGUCGAACGAGACCUUCGGGUCUAGUGGCGCACGGGUGCGUAACGCGUGGGAACCUGCCCUUAGGUUCGGAAUAACUCCCCGAAAGGGGUGCUAAUACCGGAUAAUGUCUUCGGACCAAAGAUUUAUCGCCUUUGGAUGGGCCCGCGUUGGAUUAGCUAGUUGGUAGGGUAAAAGCCUACCAAGGCGACGAUCCAUAGCUGGUCUGAGAGGAUGAUCAGCCACACUGGGACUGAGACACUGCCCAGACUCCUACGGGAGGCAGCAGUGGGGAAUAUUGGACAAUGGGCGAAAGCCUGAUCCAGCAAUGCCGCGUGAGUGAUGAAGGCCUUAGGGUUGUAAAGCUCUUUUACCCGGGAUGAUAAUGACAGUACCGGGAGAAUAAGCUCCGGCUAACUCCGUG